ACACCUCAACUCUUCAUGGUUUUCCAUGAUGAGCUUGGACUUUGGGGGUCUUGCUGGCCUGCAGUCAGCUCCUCUCAAAUGAAUCAGCUUGCCAGUGUUUGGUGGGCAUCACAGGUGUGAUAACUAUCUACGCUUGUGAUUUUCCACCAGGUAACCUUCAGCAGUGGAGGUUCGCUGGAGCUCACAGAUAUGUCUCUCCUCAGUGAGGACAGCCCUUUGAAU
rnacentral:misc_RNA from 1 species